AGAGUUUGAUCCUGGCUCAGGACGAACGCUGGCGGCAGGCUUAACACAUGCAAGUCGUGGGGCAGCAGGUCUCCUUCGGGAGAUGCUGGCGACCGGCGCACGGGUGAGUAACGCGUAAGCAACCUGCCUUUAAGAGGGGGAUAACCACGGGAAACCGUGGCUAAUACCGCAUAACGUCACCGGCCCACAUGGGCUGGUGAUCAAAGGCCUUCGGGCGCUUAGAGAUGGGCUUACGUUCCAUUAGCUAGUUGGUGAGGUAACAGCUCACCAAGGCAACGAUGGAUAGCUGGUCUGAGAGGAUGAUCAGCCACACUGGCACUGAGACACGGGCCAGACUCCUACGGGAGGCAGCAGUGAGGAAUCUUGCGCAAUGGGGGAAACCCUGACGCAGCCAUGCCGCGUGGAGGAAGACACCCCGCAGGGGCGUAAACUCCUUUUGAGUGGGAAGAAGGCGAUGAUUUCGAUCAUCGUUUGACGGUACCACUAGAAUAAGCACCGGCUAACUCCGUGCCAGCAGCCGCGGUAAUACGGAGGGUGCAAGCGUUGUCCGGAAUCACUGGGUGUAAAGGGUGUGCAGGCGGGACAGCAAGUCAGGGGUGAAAUCCUUCAGCUUAACUGAAGAACUGCCUUUGAAACUGCUGUUCUUGAGUCCCAGAGAGGUGGUCGGAAUUCGUGGUGUAGCGGUGAAAUGCGUAGAUAUCACGAGGAACACCAGAAGCGUAGGCGGAUCACUGGACGGGAACUGACGCUCACGCACGAAAGCGUGGGUGAGCAAACAGGAUUAGAUACCCUGGUAGUCCCACGCCGAAAACGAUGAACCGGCUCGAUGCUGUGGCAUUUAUGCUGCAGUGUCUAAGUUAACGCGUUAAGCGUUCCACCUGGGGAGUACGUUCGCAAGAAUGAAACUCAAAGGAAUUGACGGGGGCCCGCACAAGCGGUGGAGCAUGUGGCUUAAUUCGAUGCAACGCGAAGAACCUUACCUGGCCUCGAACGCUACCGGACCGCCCCGGAAACGGGGUUUCCCGCAAGGGCUGGUAGCGAGGUGCUGCAUGGCUGUCGUCAGCUCGUGUCGUGAGAUGUUGGGUUAAGUCCCGCAACGAGCGCAACCCCUAUCGUUAGUUACCAGCGGAUCAUGCCGGGGACUCUAGCGAGACUGCCUGCGUAAGCAGUGAGGAAGGUGGGGAUGACGUCAAGUCAUCAUGGCCCUUACGGCCAGGGCUGCACACGUGCUACAAUGGCCAAUACAAUGGGCAGCCACUCCGCGAGGAGGAGCUAAUCCCAAAAGUUGGUCUCAGUUCGGAUCGGAGUCUGCAACUCGACUCCGUGAAGCCGGAAUCGCUAGUAAUCGCGUAUCAGCAACGGCGCGGUGAAUACGUUCCCGGGCCUUGUACACACCGCCCGUCAAGCCAUGGAAGCUGAGGGCACCCGAAGUCCGUGACCCGCAAGGGAGCGGCCGAAGGUGAACUUAGUGACUGGGGCUAAGUCGUAACAAGGUAGCCGU
rnacentral:rRNA from 1 species